rfam:Legionella sp. LEGN contig_133, whole genome shotgun sequence.
GAGGGUAGGUCCCUCGAAACCGGCAUGCAGGUGCAGGUUUCAAACCACCUUAAGCUGCUGUGAUUAAGAGUCAUGGUAGUGAGCGUUAAGGAAAAGGCCAGACUAAACUGGUCAGGU